rnacentral:rRNA from 1 species
CCUACGGGUGGCUGCAGUGAGGAAUAUUGGUCAAUGGACGAAAGUCUGAACCAGCCAAGUAGCGUGAAGGAUGACUGCCCUAUGGGUUGUAAACUUCUUUUAUAUGGGAAUAAAAUGUUCCACGUGUGGGAUUUUGUAUGUACCAUAUGAAUAAGGAUCGGCUAACUCCGUGCCAGCAGCCGCGGUAAUACGGAGGAUCCGAGCGUUAUCCGGAUUUAUUGGGUUUAAAGGGAGCGUAGGUGGGUUGUUAAGUUAGUUGUUAAAGUUUGGGGCUUAACCGUAGAAUUGCAGUUGAUACUGGCAGUCUUGAGUACAGUAGAGGUAGGCGGAAUUCGUUGUGUAGCGGUGAAAUGCUUAGAUAUAACGAAGAACUCCGAUUGCGAAGGCAGCUCACUGGACUGCAACUGACGCUGAGGCACGAAAGUGUGGGUAGCAAACAGGAUUAGAUACCCCUGUAGUC